rnacentral:rRNA from 1 species
UACGUAGGUCCCGAGCGUUGUCCGGAUUUAUUGGGCGUAAAGCGAGCGCAGGUGGUUUAUUAAGUCUGGUGUAAAAGGCAGUGGCUCAACCAUUGUAUGCAUUGGAAACUGGUAGACUUGAGUGCAGGAGAGGAGAGUGGAAUUCCAUGUGUAGCGGUGAAAUGCAUAGAUAUCACGCAGAACUCCGAUUGCGAAGGCAGCGUACCGGCAUCCAACUGACGCUGAGGCACGAAAGCGUGGGGAUCAAACAGG